rnacentral:rRNA from 1 species
UACGGAGGGUGCAAGCGUUAUCCGGAUUCACUGGGUUUAAAGGGUGCGUAGGUGGGCAAGUAAGUCAGUGGUGAAAUCUCCGGGCUUAACCCGGAAACUGCCAUUGAUACUAUUUGUCUUGAAUACUGUGGAGGUCAGCGGAAUAUGUCAUGUAGCGGUGAAAUGCUUAGAUAUGACAUAGAACACCAAUUGCGAAAGGCAGCUGGCUACACAAAUAUUGACACUGAGGCAACGAAAAGCGUGGGGAUCAAACAGG